rnacentral:rRNA from 1 species
CCGGAGCUUGCUCCACCGGAAAAAGAGGAGUGGCGAACGGGUGAGUAACACGUGGGUAACCUGCCCAUCAGAAGGGGAUAACACUUGGAAACAGGUGCUAAUACCGUAUAACAAUCNAAACCGCAUGGUUUUGAUUUGAAAGGCGCUUUCGGGUGUCGCUGAUGGAUGGACCCGCGGUGCAUUAGCUAGUUGGUGAGGUAACGGCUCACCAAGGCCACGAUGCAUAGCCGACCUGAGAGGGUGAUCGGCCACAUUGGGACUGAGACACGGCCCAAACUCCUACGGGAGGCAGCAGUAGGGAAUCUUCGGCAAUGGACGAAAGUCUGACCGAGCAACGCCGCGUGAGUGAAGAAGGUUUUCGGAUCGUAAAACUCUGUUGUUAGAGAAGAACAAGGAUGAGAGUAACUGUUCAUCCCUUGACGGUAUCUAACCAGAAAGCCACGGCUAACUACGUGCCAGCAGCCGCGGUAAUACGUAGGUGGCAAGCGUUGUCCGGAUUUAUUGGGCGUAAAGCGAGCGCAGGCGGUUUCUUAAGUCUGAUGUGAAAGCCCCCGGCUCAACCGGGGAGGGUCAUUGGAAACUGGGAGACUUGAGUGCAGAAGAGGAGAGUGGAAUUCCAUGUGUAGCGGUGAAAUGCGUAGAUAUAUGGAGGAACACCAGUGGCGAAGGCGGCUCUCUGGUCUGUAACUGACGCUGAGGCUCGAAAGCGUGGGGAGCAAACAGGAUUAGAUACCCUGGUAGUCCACGCCGUAACGAUGAGUGCUAAGUGUUGGA